rnacentral:rRNA from 1 species
AUACGUAGGUGGCAAGCGUUGUCCGGAAUUACUGGGCGUAAAGGGCGUGUAGGCGGUGAUUUAAGUCAGACGUGAAAUCCCCGGGCUUAACUCGGGAACUGCGUUUGAAACUGGAUUACUUGAGGAUCGGAGAGGGCAGUGGAAUUCCCAGUGUAGCGGUGAAAUGCGUAGAUAUUGGGAGGAACACCAGUGGCGAAGGCGACUGCCUGGACGACACCUGACGCUGAGGCGCGAAAGCUAGGGGAGCAAACGGGAUUAGAUCCCCCGGUAGUCCUAGCCGUAAACGAUGGGUACUAGGUGUGGGAGGUAUCGACCCCUUCCGUGCCGGAGUUAACACAAUAAGUACCCCGCCUGGGGAGUACGGCCGCAAGGUUGA